UAACGCGUGAGGAACCUGCCUCAAAGAGGGGGACAACAGUUGGAGACGACUGCUAAUACCGCAUAAGCCCACGGCUCGGCAUCGAGCAGAGGGAAAAGGAGUGAUCCGCUUUGAGAUGGCCUCGCGUCCGAUUAGCUAGUUGGUGAGGUAACGGCCCACCAAGGCGACGAUCGGUAGCCGGACUGAGAGGUUGAACGGCCACAUUGGGACUGAGACACGGCCCAG
rnacentral:rRNA from 1 species